rnacentral:rRNA from 1 species
GGGGGCUUAGUGGUGGGGUGACUGCGUACCUUUUGUAUAAUGGGUCAGCGACUUAUAUUCUGUAGCAAGGUUAACCGAAUAGGGGAGCCGGAGGGAAACCGAGUCUUAAUUGGGCGUUAAGUUGCAGGGUAUAGACCCGAAACCCGGUGAUCUAGCCAUGGGCAGGUUGAAGGUUGGGUAACACUAACUGGAGGACCGAACCGACUAAUGUUGAAAAAUUAGCGGAUGACCUGUGGCUGGGGGUGAAAGGCCAAUCAAACCGGGAGAUAGCUGGUUCUCCCCGAAAGCUAUUUAGGUAGCGCCUCGUGAAUUCAUCUCCGGGGGUAGAGCACUGUUUCGGCUAGGGGGCCAUCCCGGCUUACCAACCCGAUGCAAACUGCGAAUACCGGAGAAUGUUAUCACGGGAGACACACGGCGGGUGCUAACGUCCGUCGUGAAGAGGGAAACAACCCAGACCGCCAGCUAAGGUCCCAAAGUCAUGGUUAAGUGGGAAACGAUGUGGGAAGGCCCAGACAGCCAGGAUGUUGGCUUAGAAGCAGCCAUCAUUUAAAGAAAGCGUAAUAGCUCACUGGUCGAGUCGGCCUGCGCGGAAGAUGUAACGGGGCUAAACCAU